AGUAAAUUAGUUUCCCUAAAAAUAAAUUAAGGUUACACAUCUCUCAUAAACUACCAUUCGAGCGCUGAAACUUUGAUUCUUAUAACCGCUGUUGCGGUCCAGUGCUCAUCCUCUUCCUCCACGGUCGGCGGUCACUACUUCUGACGGAGCAACUACCGGUCACUGUUGCUCACGGCGCGGUUGAUUUCCCCUGCCAUAAUCGCUAACUACCUUGCCCCAUUCUCUUAGCGCCACGAUUGAAGCUCGCCCCGGCCAGGCCAUUGCCCGAAAAUCGUUGCAAAGCUUUGUGCCACUGCCACCGUGCGACCGUGCCCUCGCCGACAUCACCGUGCUUAUGCCUCCGUCAUCGCCGUCGCUACUGCUGUCGUCCCCUUCGUCCUUAUGAGGAUAUGUGGUGAAGGCAAAGAAGACAAUAUUGGACAUAUUGGUUGAUGCAUCACAUUUUGAAGGAACGAAGGAACAACAAGUGUUAACUCAUUUGAAUGUUAGGCUGAACUUAUUUGUUAGUGGAUCCACAAAUGUUUACUCAUUUUAGUUAUAGUUAUUGUUAGAAUUUAGCUUAAUUAUUUUGUAAUGGAAUAUGGUAGAAUUGAUUUUGUCGAAUCUUUAAGUUGUAAUGAAUAUUGAAAUUUUAUAAUGACUAUGUUAUAAAUGAAAAUGAUUUUCUCA